CCAGAGGAUCUAGCAGGGUUUUUACAAUAGGGAAAACCCUUGGUGGUGAUUCUAUAAAUUGGAAGAUUUUCUAAUUUUCAAAGUUGGAUUUACAUCACUAAUCUGAGACGCAAUUUCACAGCUAAUUUUGGAAUGCAGUCUAAUUUAACCAGUUGAGUCCUGAGAGAGAGGGUAGAGGAGAGAAGCUUAAAAAGUCCUGGCAGCCUCUCAGGGGUUAUGGGUGCAGCUCUCUGAGGGGGGAAAAAGUUGUGGUUUGUUGUUGUUGUUGUUGUUUUGGUUUUGGGUUUUUUGUUUUGUUUUGAUUUUCUUUUUUAAUUCAAGUGCCUCCAUCUUGUUUACCUAUCUCUUUAAAAAGUACUUUAAGUAUAAGCUUCAAGAGUUUUGAGUUCUAGAGUUUUGCCUGGCUGUUGAGAUGUGGUGCAAAUUCUCAUGUGUGUUUAUAUAGGAAGGUGAGUUGACCAUCCACCGAAGAGGAUGGAGCUAAUUAACAUGAUCUGUGGUCUUUACAAAAGAGAAUCCAGCUCCCUGGCCUUUGUGUGUGUGUAUAUGCGCGAGAGUAUGUGGGACAACUUAAUUUUCCUGAAGCAUCUAUUUAUUUCCAGAUUAAUAUAGAUGAAAAGUAAAACUUUGAUUGGAUUCAGUUAGAAGCUCUUACUUCUGUAUUUGCAUAGGCUUGAACUACUCCCUAGCAGUGCCUAGAAAUAUGGGGUCCCACCUUGGUACUGGUCACUCACCUUCUUACGUGACGCAGAUGAGAUUUCUUAUCAGUGCAAAUGUAUUAGAACAUGAUGGAAUAAAGCUUUCAGUUUGAGAAAUAAAGGUAUAUUUAAAAGUGUAAAAAAAAAUUGUCAGUCAUGCUCCUUGCUUUUAUUUUUUUAUUUUUUUAUUUGUUGGUCUUUAGUAGUAAACCUUAGGUUCUAGGAAACAUGGACAUGAAGAGACUGUUACCACUUCUGCAGCACCGUGACAGGUGGCAACUCUUGGUGCUGUGGCAGAUGGGGGCAGGGGCCAGGAGGUCUGGCUACCCUGAAAGCCAUACAUUUUCUCUCCAAGGUGCCUGAUUAACUUAAGCUGAUCUUUGCUGUGGACACCUAGCCCAGUUGCGAAUCCCUCCCAUAAGUAAUGUCUUUGCUUACCUGUUUUGUGCAAAUGAGGAUGCUUGAGUAGUCUCAAACAUGCCAGGCACAUGGUCUACUGAUGAGUUUAUGGCCAGCCUCAUAGUGUUUUAAAAUAAUGUGGCUCAACAGCACCUAGUUUAUUUAUUGGCCAUGGCUCCAUGACCAUUCUAAUAAAAGACUCCGAAUAGCUACAUAUCCUAUGUGGUUGCUCUUUAAGAAAUAUCUCCUUGAACAAAGUGAUGUGGCUGAUAUUUAAAGGGUACAAAUAGUUCUGUUCCAGAGUGUCACAAGUUUUGACUUGUGACAUGACAUUGUCAUCAAAGAAUACACUGGACCUCACUCAGCUCUUCUGGGAUGUGUGUAUGUAACCUCUGGGCUGCGGGUUGGCCGCUUCCUAAUUCUUUUGGUCCAAUCUCCAGCACCCCAGAUCUGUACCUCUUCCUUUUAUCCUGUGUUUUAGAGGGCCUCCUUUCUGUGAUGGCAUUUUUGACUCCUAACCUCUUCACCAAACCAAGUGUCUCCAUCUUGCCUUGUUGGCCCUCCCCAUUUGUAUGGCACAUGCCCUCUGAUACAUUCCUUAACUCUGACCUCAGUAAAACUGUUACACGUUAAGCCAGCUGAAGCCUACUGUGCUUAAACAGAUGCCGCGUCCAGUCCUCUGUCAGGAGUACUUUGCAGCUAGCUCUAGUCCUUUUGUUUCACCUAAUUUACUUCUGUUUUCAGAGGUCAUAGCUCUUUCCCUUGCACCCCACCACACACACUUAGCUUCUAUAAAUUUGGCUAAGUGUCAGUCUAUGUCCCACUUCCUCUGGCUUACCAGGCACCUGCCCCUUCCUGUGUUCCUAUUAGUGGCCUUGACUGGCUUGCAUCGGUUCUUUACCUCCAUUGCAGACUCCACCGUGUUUUCUUCUCCUUUGCCCUCCUCCCACACAACUGGCAAAGGUUUAAUGCUUUGGAUGUUGGACAUGGUGUUUUUGUCCCCGGAGGAUUGGGACUUGGGCCACUGGCAGCCAGAAGGCCAAAGCCUGGAUAUUUACCUGGAUGUGUUGUAAUGCCUCAUCCUGAUGCCAGAAACAUUUGAGGCCAGGCUUCAUCUGAACCAAUAUUUACAUGUAUAAUAACCCAUGUGUGAAAUGGUGAAAUGCAGUUCCCCAGAAUGAGUGGAUCGACCCUGUCCCUGUGAUGCUGACCACAAGCACUCGACCUGAGAAAGGCCAUUCUUUAGUCUCCCCAACCCUUUUAGUAGAACUUGUGUUUCCCUUCCAGGUAUUACUUCCUCAGCACAUAGAGUAAGGCUCCUGCUCUCAACCCAGUAUCCAAGAUUUCAGAAAUGCGUUUCUGAACUUCUCUGGCCGAGGAGCCACUUGGGUGACUAAGGUAGGACAGCAACAUACUCCACUGUAAUUUAGGAUCACUGUUGGUGGAAGAUGCUGACAUUAACAAGACCCAAGAGGACUUCCCACAGCAAAGGCCAGUGCUCAACUGCGAUGACGCUAUCCAGCAGCUCAUCUGAGUCUGAGGAGGGGCUUGUGAGACCUGUGUGACCACCUAACUUCAAGUACUUGCAGGAGAGAAGAGACUAUGGUGAUGGCUUCCUACUUCCUGCUUCACGUGUUGUCUGGCAUGGGACCUCGGGGAUAAACGCUCUUUCUAGAAAUGUGCUGCACUGGCAGAGGUACCACACACAGAUCAGCCUCUUGACUGGACAUUUCUUUCAUGGACUUCUGGAACAGAGGUUAAAUCCUGGUGGACUUCGCACUGUCCUUUCCUGACCCUGUGACCCUUGGCAAAUAUCUUCUCUUCUCCUGCUGUACAAAUGGAGACGCUUCCGAGAACUGGUUUGUACAAGAAUUAAAGACCUCAGUGCUAAG